rnacentral:rRNA from 1 species
GGAAGUAAAAGUCGUAACAAGGUCUCCGUUGGUGAACCAGCGGAGGGAUCAUUACCGAGUUUACAACUCCCAAACCCCAUGUGAACCUUACCAAUCGUUGCUUCGGCGGGAUUGCCCCGGUGCCUCUGCCGCCCGGAACCAGGCGCCCGCCGGAGGUCCUUAAACUCUUGUUUUCCUGGUGGCAUUAUCUGAGUGGCGCAAGCAAAAAUAAAAUCAAAACUCUCAACAACGGAUCUCUUGGUUCUGGCAUCGAUGAAGAACGCAGCGAAAUGCGAUAAGUAAUGUGAAUUGCAGAAUUCAGUGAAUCAUCGAAUCUUUGAACGCAUAUUGCGCCCGCUAGUAUUCUGGCGGGCAUGCCUGUUCGAGCGUCAUUUCAACCCUCAAGCCCCAUGGGCUUGGUGUUGGGGAUCGGCCGCUGCGGCUCCCUGAGUCGCGGGCGGCCGUCCCCGAAAUACAGUGGCGGUCUCGCUGGACCCUCCUCUGCGUAGUAGAAACACCUCGCACUGGAUGACAGCCUGGCCACGCCGUAAAACCCCCACGUUUUACUGAAGGUUGACCUCGGAUCAGGUAGGAAUACCCGCUGAACUUAAGCAUAUCA